CACGACUCUCGGCAACGGAUAUCUCGGCUCUCGCAUCGAUGAAGAACGUAGCGAAAUGCGAUACCUGGUGUGAAUUGCAGAAUCCCGCGAACCAUCGAGUCUUUGAACGCAAGUUGCGCCCGAGGCCACCCGGUCGAGGGCACGCCUGCCUGGGCGUCACGCCA
rnacentral:rRNA from 1 species